rnacentral:lncRNA from 1 species
CACACCCGGAGGCAUUUAGUUUCAGAGGAAAAAUAUCAUCCUCAUUCGAAGCUGUGCCAGUGAUGUUCAGACCCACAAGGCAAAGGUUACCAUCGCAAGCGCACUGGAAGCUUGGAAAACCCAUGUAAGAAACCACGUCCGGGGUGACGAGGAUCGGGGAGGCCCUGUUGCAAACCUGGCCUUCGUAGACGUAGUUCUUGAUUCCUUUGCCAGAGCUUUUGAGCUUCAAUCCAGCACCGGUUCUAGCGUUGCUCACAAAGUUUGUCAAAUACACCGCACUAUUGUCCAGAUACAAAGCGCUGCUCUCCACGGCAUAUGGUUCCUGUGAAGCCUUCCGAUACGGAACGCCAACCAAGAGCGCUGCAUAUGAUCCAGGAGCGGUCUGGACGAUCGGGGUUGUGUAAAGACACGAAUCAUCCUUGGAUCCUGGCAAGGUGAAACAAGUUCUUACACUCAUCCCCCAGUAGACUGUCAUCUUCCACACCAGAGUCCUGCUUCUCUUGACAAGCUCUCCUCCAAGAAUGCGGGGAUCUGGCGAGCUAUACAAAGAGCUCUCAUUUGUAGAGGUGAUAUUGCCCGAAACACGCCAGAUGCUGGCCCUCUGGUAUGCAAGCGUUCCCCUCUGGGAGACGUCAAGAGCAUCCGGGAGUGAGGAAUCAGAGACCCACUGAUAGAAUGGAUCAGAGCUUGUGGCAAAGACGGUGGCUUCCCAGCAAGUAGAGCACAUGUCCUCCUUGACGAUAUCCGGGUAGUAAUCCCCUGGAGGUGGCUUGCUCAUCUCUGGAACCGCGAAUAUGGCAGUGACCACAAGUGUCGCCACGAAAGUUGCAAAUGCGAUGCCAAUCACAAGCGCUCCAGUGAGUUUCUCCCUUGGAUUCAACAUCAGUUUAGCUGCGCCUUGUGACUCUGCCAUAGCUCCAAUCUUCUCUGCUCAAACAGAUUAUGCGGUGGAUAUUCGUUGCAUUGAAAUAAAAGUUCAAAUGGAAAGUUUACUUUAAUAUAUCUUGUAAGUAAAUGGCGAAUAAAGCGAUUAUUCCCUUUGCAUAAUGAUAGUACCUGAAAAUUCUUUUGAACAUGGCAGCGCAGAAUGUAGUAGUCCCUUUAUAUUGAUUAAUACAAAGCUUAUAUCAUGCUUUUUAAUAACAACGCCUAUUAAGUCGUCCAUCUCGAGAAACUUUCAUAGUCACAAUGGUUUCUCUUCUUCCUAUUGCUCGUCUUCUUCUUGUUCUUCUUCUUUCAUCUCUUGAUCUUACCUUCUCAAUCGAGCUCGCUGGUGUGCUAAAUCCCGAGGACAUUUCCCUCCCGCCGAGAGAUCCAAGGUCCCAGUCUGUGGAUUCCUAUUGUCGCAGCUUCCAGUUUAGCGUUGCGUCUGGAAACCUCUUGAGCUGGAGAGUCCCUGCCGAGUGUGUUCCAUACGUCCGGAGCUACACCACCGGGCCACAGUACCAAGCCGACGUCCAAGCUGCAACGAGCUUGGCACUCCAGCAAGCCCAGACUUUCUGCGCCAGGCCCGGCAUUGAUGCGUGGCUGUUUGAUGUCGAUGGUACUCUCCUCUCAACCACGCCUUACUUUGCUACAAAGCAGUUCGGGUAACGUCUGGAUCUAUCUCUUCCUCCCCCUGUUGAAAGUUAAUACUUUGCAGAGCUGGGAGCUACAACGACACUGACUUUAACUUGUGGGCCGCCAGAGGCGUCGCCCCGGCGAUCGUUCCAGUGAGGACCUUCUACCGGACGCUUCUCAGGACAAACUGGACAGUGUUCCUCGUGUCCACUCGCCCAGAGUCACUGCGGCGUGCGACUGUGAGGAACUUACUCCGGGCGGGCUACAGAGGCUGGAAGAGGCUCUUCAUGAGGUUUGUGAGCUUUAGAUAACGUUGGCUAGCCUGUCAUGACACCAGAUGCUACUCUUGCUAGACGACCACUCUUCCAGACCCAAGACGAGAACCUUGUUGAAAUAAAGAAAGCAAACAAACUGUCCAGGGGCUCGGCCGAGAAAUCGAUGAAAGAUGCUGGGUAUGACACCAAGGGAGUAACGAGCAACAAGCAAGACACAGGUGGUGACAAGAGCAUUCCACAGUCUCAGGUGCCUGAUCUCUCGGGUAACAAAUAAAACUCAAGCAAUACAAUGCAAGAAACAUACCUCAAUAAUAAUGCAGAUUUGGAUUGUUAGAACAAGAGUAAUAAUUGAAACUAGUACCUCUUUAUUUCACCACGAUCACCACGAUGGACACAGAUAUAGUUUUAUCCGUUUACAUGUUGGCUUUCACGUUGAAUUUCGUUGCAAUCUUCUGACCAAGCGUACGAUCCGCCUGCACACUUUCAUGGUUGAGUUUGAUCACAUGCUGUAUUUUCUUUAUUGUCUAACCUGAGACCAAUAAGAGAGCCAGAUGCUACGGAUUUCCUGGGUGACGCGCGGGUCGGACAGAGCAUCCACAACUCUCGCAAUGAAACGCUCUUGCCUGGAAGUGCAGCAGAGAUUCAGUUAAAACAUGAUUAGCUGAGAGAGAGGUUUGAGAUCUUGCCUAUCAGCAGGCCCGGAGCGGAACCUUGCUCCUGGCUGAGCAAAGUUAUUUUCCUUUUCAAUCAUUGCCAAAGCAUAAAAUGAGAGGCUGGAAGUUAGACUAGCCAAACCUUUUCUCGUCGACCACCGAGAGGGUGAGAAGGAAUAUGCACUCGCUCAGCGUGACGGCAAGGAUCAAAACGCGAAGGGAAAUAGUUCACCUGCAAACACAGAAUAUAGAACGUAAAAGCAAGAGCGUUGCUUGUCAUACCUCUUCGUCCCUGUGGGUGAAGUUCAUGAAUCCCUCGUGAGAUGAGCACACUUGGGAGCAUUCGCAGGAAGCAGCAAAUAGUUCGGCCUCAGCCUGUGCACAGCGUACAAGAAGUCUGUAGCAGUUUAUCAUUGCAAUAACACCACCAAAGCAGCGGUUGCUCGUUCUCCGGAAACAACUCAAUGUUCUCAGACCGCGGGAAGAGAUCCUGGUAUAACAUCGAAGUUGUAGUUGUUGUCGCUCUUCAUUUCCAUGGUCUUUCCCUUCUGCAAUAGAGUGUUGUGAAUCCUGCGUUGCAUAGCUGUGGUUCGAUCCACCAACGAUGACGCCUCCUCUUCCAGCAAGCUUGACAGAAGCAUUAGCCAAGUCAAGUAGUGGUUUCACUUUGUUUGACUUCCUUGAUCUGAGAGAUCGUGUUUUUAGUCAGUUCCAUGCGGGCAUAGUGACAAGGAAAAGCUUCGCCUCCUCCAAAGACUUGGCAUGCCCAAUCGCUGCCAACAAGGCAUUCCAAGUCACUAUGCUCCGCUCGGGCAUCUCAACAAACAAGUCUUGUGCAAUCUCAAGCCGCUCGCAUUGAGCAUAUGAAACGACGAGCACAGUCCACGACACAAGAUUCCAUGCUGGCAUCUUGUCAAAGUAGCUCUUUGCCUUGUCUAGAAGACGAUUCUCGGCAUAUCCCUGGAGCAAUGCCGUCCAUGAGAAGACGUUCCUCUCCGGCAUAUUCUUGAACAAGGCACACGCUUCUCUUGCAUUGCCCCUCGCGGCAAAUGCCGAAAUCAUUGCAGUAGCUGAUAUAAUGUCAUGCUGGGGCAUCUUUCGAAAGAAUCCUCGAGAGGUUAAGAUACCUCCGAGUCUUGCAUAUCCAGCAAGCAUUGAUGUCCAUGCAAUUGCAUUUCGAGGUGACAUAGAAUCAAACAUAUGCUUCGCGCUACACAUAUACCCGCUUUGGGCAUAUGCUGUAAGCAUUGUUGUCCACGACACAAAGUUGGGAUUUGGAAUCGAAUCAAAAAGAAUCUUUGCCUCGUCUACAUUGCCAUGCUGUGCGUACGCUCCAAGCAUUGUAUUCCAUGCAACAGUAUCACGAUCGGGCAUCUCAUGAAAGAUAAGCUUAGCAUCUUGCGGAUACCCGUUUUGGGUAUAUGCAGUCAUCAUAACUGCCCACGAGAAAACGUUCUUGGCGUCGAUGAUGUCAAACACUCGCUUGGCAUCAUUUGGGCUGCCGCAUUUGCCAUACAUCUGGACGAGCAAAUUGGCAGGAAGACGUUCUAUCUGUAGUCCUUUUUAUCUGAAAUGAUCUGGCUGUGUAUCCAGCGACCCUUUGCCAAGUCCUUGGAUUUGGCACAGUGACGAAUCACGGUUGCGAAGUCUUCAAUGGCGUGGUUGGCUGCUCUCUUGAGAGCACUCAUUAGAACGGCAUUCUACACUACUAGUUUUAUAAAAGAUCCAUUCUCUUUUGCCCACUUGGAUAAAAAAAAUUGAUCAUAGGUCACGAUACUAACUAUUGCUGCGUUGAAAGACGCAAUCAUCCCUGGAUAUAAUUCUUAAACCACACACAUUAUGUGGGGCUGUUUGUGGUCAUAGUCUGAAGCUGUUCGCCGCAAAAUUCGUAGGAGUGGAUCUACUUUCUAUUUCUCUUGAGCUCUGCUCUGGAGGGUGAUGAGAUUGUUAUUUGGCUCGGACUGAUAUCAGAGGUCGUUAAAACUCCUCAGGCACCAGGAGGAGACAAAACUUCACUCCACCAGUGUGCUCCAUGGUCGGGAAUCUUCAAAAACACCCGGUGGUGGGCUGAGAAAUUCUCUUAAAUCCACAUUCAUGCAACAAGAGUUAUCAUAUACGGUUAGAAGAGAACAUUGAGCAGCAUAGCAUAGAAGCUAUGGCAAUGUACGAGGAAGGAAAAAGGCGCGGCGAAUGCAAUCAAGCACGAGAGCUGGCUGCAAAGACGGAUGCUUGGAACUGUUGCUUUCAAAUACAAUAAAGACUGCUUAGCUGGAAUCGUUGCUUUCAAAUACAAUACAUAAUGACUGCUUAGCUGUAUGCCUUAGAAAAGCAAUAGCUAUACACAUUCCAGAUACCAAAAGCAUGUAACACAUGAGAAGAUACUCUACAUAGCAUGAGAUUGAGUGGGUUGCCACUUUUUAGUUACUUUCAUUUUAAUCAGUUUCUCUUUUUCCUGAGCUCUAUCUAUAUCCAAUUUUUGUGGCACUCAUCAAACAAUACAUAUUAAUUGUAUAAACUUGCAUGAUUUAAGCUGGUACAGUUACCUCUUCUUUUCUUUCCAAAGAAAAGAAGAGCUCUAUCUAUAUCCAAAUUUUGUGGCAUCCAAGAAUACAUAUUAAUUAGCAUGAUUUAAGCUGGUAUAGUUACCUUUUCUUUUCUUUCCACGUAGCGCAUACGAACGUACACACCGAAAGUUACUAUGGCAAACACAAAGAUUGCAAACGAGCACGCUGCAAAUAAGAUAAUCCAAGAUGGAGUGACUUGAACUGUUGAAGUUGUAGUCACCAAGAACGAGACCCCGUCGAGCUGCUGGAGUAGUGUUUUUGAGGUGGCAAGCCGGGGCUCACUUCCCACAGCAUUCAAGCUGACAAACACGUUAAACAUGUUCCACACGAUCACACCCAAGAGCAGAAAACCCCGAAUUCCCGUCUUAAACAGUGGAAGUCCUAUUGUCGCUUCCACAACCCUGGUAAAUUUGCCUGCGCGCUUCAAGAUCAACGCCUCCACCUCUUGCAAAUCCCUGUUGAACAUCCCCCAGAUGGUCACAAGGAUGGUCACCACUGCUGUGACAAUCCCAACAGUUAUGUCUGAUCUCUGCGACGAAGUGCUCUCCCAUUCCUUCUUCACGAACCUAAGCACGUCCGCCACCUUUUGAGACUCCCUCAAGCGCUUCUCCAGCUUUUGCAUCUCGUUUGAGCUCUUUAGAUCCUGCAAACUUACCGUGCACAGCUUGUCCACCAGCUUCGACUGGCCUUCGUCCAUGCCACACAAGAAGUUGUCGUCCUUGUCGCUUGGAACCUUGUUAUUGAAGGUGUCCAUGAGAACUUCCAGCGAUGCCCGAGAUUGGUGUCUUCCCACAGCGGAUGUUCUGCCAAAGGGAGGGCUCACGGCAACAAUUGGAUCUCUCAAGCACUCCUUCAGAUCUGCCACCAGUGUGGUAUCGUUCGGAGCCUUCUUCUGGAUCGUGUGCUCGGUGCAAGAAACGAAAUCUUUGAGUCGCUGGAUCGUGUCCUCGGCACCAAAGAUUACCCAAUUGAAUCUUAUGCUGAAAUUUACCUGGAGUAGUAUCGAUGUGUUCCAUGUCGGGCUGUAAGAGUAGAAGAUGGUUCUAUUCUCUUCCAAAGGAUAGAUAUCGUAAUCCCAAAACGAAUUGCCCUGGCCACACCCGGAGGCAUUUAGUUUCAGAGGAAAAAUAUCAUCCUCAUUCGAAGCUGUGCCAGUGAAGUCCAGACCCACAAGGCAAAGGUUACCAUCGCAAGCGCACUGGAAGCUUGGAAAACCCAUGUAAGAAACCACGUCCGGGGUGACGAGGAUCGGGGAGGCCCUAUUGCAAACCUGGCCUUCGUAGACGUAGUUCUUGAUUCCUUUGCCAGAGCUUUUGAGCUUCAAUCCUGCACCGGUUCUAGCGUUGCUCACAAAGUUUGUCAAAUACACCGCACUAUUGUCCAGAUACAAAGCGCUGCUCUCCACGGCAUAUGGUUCCUGUGAAGCCUUCCGAUACGGAACGCCAACCAAGAGCGCCGCAUAUGAUCCAGGAGCGGUCUGGACGAUCGGGGUUGUGUAAAGACACGAAUCAUCCUUGGAUCCUGGCAAGGUGAAACAAGUUCUUACACUCAUCCCCCAGUAGACUGUCAUCUUCCACACCAGAGUCCUGCUUAUCUUGACAAACUCUCCUCCAAGAAUGUGGGGAUCUGGCGAGCUAUACAAAGAGCUCUCAUUUGUAGAGGUGAUAUUGCCCGAAACACGCCAGAUGCUGGCCCUCUGGUAUGCAAGCGUUCCCCUCUGGGAGACGUCAAGAGCAUCCGGGAGUGAGGAAUCAGAGACCCACUGGUAGAAUGGAUCGGAGCUUGUGGCAAAGACGGUGGCUUCCCAGCAAGUAGAGCACAUGUCCUCCUUGACGAUAUCUGGGUAGUAAUCCCCUGGAGGUGGCUUGCUCAUCUCUGGAACCGCGAAGAUGGCAGUGACCACAAGUGUCGCCACGAAAGUUGCAAAUGCGAUGCCAAUCACAAGCGCUCCAGUGAGUUUCUCCCUUGGAUUCAACAUCAGUUUAGCUGCGCCUUGUGACUCUGCCAUAGCUCCAAUCUUCUCUGCUCAAACAGAUUAUGCGGUGGAUUGGAAUG